rnacentral:rRNA from 1 species
ACAAGGUCUCCGUAGGUGAACCUGCGGAGGGAUCAUUACACAAUAAAAUACGAAGGCCGUUCGCGGCUGGACUAUUUAUUACCCUUGUCUUUUGCGCACUUGUUGUUUCCUGGGCGGGUUCGCUCGCCACCAGGACCACAAUAUAAACCUUUUUUAUGCAGUUGCAAUCAGCGUCAGUAUAACAAAUGUAAAUCAUUUACAACUUUCAACAACGGAUCUCUUGGUUCUGGCAUCGAUGAAGAACGCAGCGAAAUGCGAUACGUAGUGUGAAUUGCAGAAUUCAGUGAAUCAUCGAAUCUUUGAACGCACAUUGCGCCCUUUGGUAUUCCAAAGGGCAUGCCUGUUCGAGCGUCAUUUGUACCCUCAAGCUUUGCUUGGUGUUGGGCGUUUUUGUCCCCCCCCAAAAAGGGGACUCGCCUUAAAAGGAUUGGCAGCCGGCCUACUGGUUUCGCAGCGCAGCACAUUUUUGCGCUUGCAAUCAGCAAAAGAGGACGGCAAUCCAUCAAGACUCCUUCUCACGUUUGACCUCGGAUCAGGUAGGGAUACCCGCUGAACUUAAGC